rnacentral:lncRNA from 1 species
GAGAUGCAAAGGUGAGAGCAACAUCAUCUUUGCCAUCGGGAAGCAUCCACUCUAAAUGUUUUAGUCACAGGGCUGUGUGUUCACACCAUGAAUUGUGAGAUCCCCAUGUUUACAAAGGAAAAUUCUUCCUAUGAGUCUCCCUGUUGCUAGGUAUCUUACUUUCUUGUCUCUGGGACAAUAUACCUGACAUCCACAACUUAAAAGAGGAAAGGCUUGUUUUGGCUCACAGUUCUUUCAUAGAGGUUUCAGUCCAUGGUUGGCUGCCUCCGAGGCAGAAGAGCAUGGCAGAGGAGAACAGCACAUGACAUGGAAGAAGGAAGCAAAGCGAUCAGGGGAGGAGGGAGGGAGACAGACUUGCCAGGCAGUGCCUCCAGUGACCCACCUCUUCCAACCAGGCUUCACAUCCCAAGUCAUCAGAGGAGCAACCCACCAAUAAGUAUCAUGCCCCUAGGGUCCAUUCACAUCCCCAAAGCCCCACAUAUGAGCACAUGAGGCUUUGAGAGUAUAAACCAUAGCACUAGGUUGUUUUUUUUUUUUUUUUAAAUAAAUCCUCCCAUUAUCAUGACUUCAUUUGGUUUAUUGUGGUGUUUUAUCUUUUUUCUUUUCCUUCUUCCCAGUGUUGAAAAAGAAGAGUUCUAUUAAUGCCCAGCAUUUAUCCAGUGGCAGUGUAUGUACAAUACCCUAAUCAGGAACCCAGAGCCUUAAGAAAAUUUCAUUUCUAGAGCAACAAGAUUGGAGUUCAUUACGUCCAGACUUGAUCUCUGUCCCUUAACCUGUGGAUACAAAGGGCUGACUGUAUAUAAUAUGAAUUAAAUAGGAUCAGCAUGAUAUCAGACUUCAUUUAAAGUUACUACCUCCAGUUAUGGACCCAAAACCGAUGAAGCUGAAACAUCCCAGGACACCACAGCAAUCACACGGGAUGGCCAGGAUGUCUUCAGUUACCCAGAGAAACAUCUGUCAGACACCGCGUGACCUUCUAGCUGGAGAAACUAUAACACUACUACAAUCAAUCCUUAAAUUGUCCGCACUGCAUUUAGAAGUUCUGGAAAAUACUAGAUUUUAAACUUGUGAACUAAGAUCAUUCAAUAUGGUCAGUGUUCCCAGAUGAAACCUUAAUCAUGUACAACACCUAGGAAAGAUGUCGGCAAAGAAACAGUUCUAAUCUAAAUCAGGUCUCGGCCCAAGGAGGAAGAAGGCUCUUUAAAGGACAUUUCUCUUUCCGACAUCAUUGGGCCACAGUCUGUGGCAACCAAGUGUGCUGUGUGGCUCAUUCUGGAGACACACAGCUCUGUGUCAGAGGAAUGUGCACAAUGUAUGGCCUUCAAAUGUCACUGUGCUCCAUGGGGUCGUUCUGGCUCUGAGACCUAACAAAUGAUUAUAAAUGUAUUAUAAUCUUUGUGUCUUCACUUAACUGUAACUGGCAAAGCAUGCUAUUUUGUUCCUCAGACCUAUUACUAAGGCCUGUUAUUAACAAAUUUGGCCUUUAAAUUUCCUCCACAAUUUAUAUCAAAAUAGCAAUGGUCACCUGCAAU